UUAAGCGACUAAGCGUACACGGUGGAUGCCCUGGCAGUCAGAGGCGAUGAAGGACGUGCUAAUCUGCGAAAAGCGCCGGCGAGGUGAUAUGAACCCUUGACCCGGCGAUGUCCGAAUGGGGAAACCCAGUGCAAUCCGUUGCACUAUCGUUAACUGAAUACAUAGGUUAACGAGGCGAACCGGGGGAACUGAAACAUCUAAGUACCCCGAGGAAAAGAAAUCAACCGAGAUUCCCCCAGUAGCGGCGAGCGAACGGGGAGCAGCCCGGAGUCUGAAUCAGCUUGUGUGUUAGUGGAACGGUCUGGAAAGUCCGACGGUACAGGGUGAUAGUCCCGUACACGAAAAUGCACAUGCUGUGAACUCGAAGAGUAGGGCGGGACACGUGGUAUCCUGUCUGAAUAUGGGGGGACCAUCCUCCAAGGCUAAAUACUCCUGACUGACCGAUAGUGAACCAGUACCGUGAGGGAAAGGCGAAAAGAACCCCGGCGAGGGGAGUGAAAAAGAACCUGAAACCGUGUACGUACAAGCAGUGGGAGCCUCUUUAUGGGGUGACUGCGUACCUUUUGUAUAAUGGGUCAGCGACUUAUAUUCUGUAGCAAGGUUAACCGUAUAGGGGAGCCGAAGGGAAACCGAGUCUUAACUGGGCGUUAAGUUGCAGGGUAUAGACCCGAAACCCGGUGAUCUAGCCAUGGGCAGGUUGAAGGUUGGGUAACACUAACUGGAGGACCGAACCGACUAAUGUUGAAAAAUUAGCGGAUGACCUGUGGCUGGGGGUGAAAGGCCAAUCAAACCGGGAGAUAGCUGGUUCUCCCCGAAAGCUAUUUAGGUAGCGCCUCGUGAACUCAUCUUCGGGGGUAGAGCACUGUUUCGGCUAGGGGGCCAUCCCGGCUUACCAACCCGAUGCAAACUACGAAUACCGAAGAAUGUUAUCACGGGAGACACACGGCGGGUGCUAACGUCCGUCGUGAAGAGGGAAACAACCCAGACCGCCAGCUAAGGUCCCAAAGUCAUGGUUAAGUGGGAAACGAUGUGGGAAGGCACAGACAGCCAGGAUGUUGGCUUAGAAGCAGCCAUCAUUUAAAGAAAGCGUAAUAGCUCACUGGUCGAGUCGGCCUGCGCGGAAGAUGUAACGGGGCUAAACCAUGCACCGAAGCUGCGGCAGCGACACUAUGUGUUGUUGGGUAGGGGAGCGUUCUGUAAGCCGUUGAAGGUGUGCUGUGAGGCAUGCUGGAGGUAUCAGAAGUGCGAAUGCUGACAUAAGUAACGAUAAAGCGGGUGAAAAGCCCGCUCGCCGGAAGACCAAGGGUUCCUGUCCAACGUUAAUCGGGGCAGGGUGAGUCGACCCCUAAGGCGAGGCCGAAAGGCGUAGUCGAUGGGAAACAGGUUAAUAUUCCUGUACUUGGUGUUACUGCGAAGGGGGGACGGAGAAGGCUAUGUCAGCCGGGCGACGGUUGUCCCGGUUUAAGCAUGUAGGCGGAGGUUCCAGGUAAAUCCGGUACCUUGUUAACGCUGAGGUGUGAUGACGAGGCACUACGGUGCUGAAGUGAUAAAUGCCCUGCUUCCAGGAAAAGCCUCUAAGCAUCAGGUAACACGAAAUCGUACCCCAAACCGACACAGGUGGUCAGGUAGAGAAUACCAAGGCGCUUGAGAGAACUCGGGUGAAGGAACUAGGCAAAAUGGUGCCGUAACUUCGGGAGAAGGCACGCUGAUGUGUAGGUGAAGCCCCUGCGGGCGGAGCUGAAAUCAGUCGAAGAUACCAGCUGGCUGCAACUGUUUAUUAAAAACACAGCACUGUGCAAACACGAAAGUGGACGUAUACGGUGUGACGCCUGCCCGGUGCCGGAAGGUUAAUUGAUGGGGUUAGCGGCAACGCGAAGCUCUUGAUCGAAGCCCCGGUAAACGGCGGCCGUAACUAUAACGGUCCUAAGGUAGCGAAAUUCCUUGUCGGGUAAGUUCCGACCUGCACGAAUGGCGUAAUGAUGGCCAGGCUGUCUCCACCCGAGACUCAGUGAAAUUGAACUCGCUGUGAAGAUGCAGUGUACCCGCGGCAAGACGGAAAGACCCCGUGAACCUUUACUAUAGCUUGACACUGAACACUGGUCCUUGAUGUGUAGGAUAGGUGGGAGGCUUUGAAGCGUGGACGCCAGUCUGCGUGGAGCCAACCUUGAAAUACCACCCUUUAAUGGCUGGUGUUCUAACGUAGACCCGUAAUCCGGGUUGCGGACAGUGUCUGGUGGGUAGUUUGACUGGGGCGGUCUCCUCCCAAAGAGUAACGGAGGAGCACGAAGGUUGGCUAAUCCUGGUCGGACAUCAGGAGGUUAGUGCAAUGGCAUAAGCCAGCUUGACUGCGAGCGUGACGGCGCGAGCAGGUGCGAAAGCAGGUCAUAGUGAUCCGGUGGUUCUGAAUGGAAGGGCCAUCGCUCAACGGAUAAAAGGUACUCCGGGGAUAACAGGCUGAUACCGCCCAAGAGUUCAUAUCGACGGCGGUGUUUGGCACCUCGAUGUCGGCUCAUCACAUCCUGGGGCUGAAGUAGGUCCCAAGGGUAUGGCUGUUCGCCAUUUAAAGUGGUACGCGAGCUGGGUUUAGAACGUCGUGAGACAGUUCGGUCCCUAUCUGCCGUGGGCGCUGGAGAAUUGAGGGGGGCUGCUCCUAGUACGAGAGGACCGGAGUGGACGCAUCACUGGUGUUCGGGUUGUCAUGCCAAUGGCACUGCCCGGUAGCUAAAUGCGGAAGAGAUAAGUGCUGAAAGCAUCUAAGCACGAAACUUGCCCCGAGAUGAGUUCUCCCUGAGACUUUAAGUCUCCUGAAGGAACGUUAAAGACGAUGACGUUGAUAGGUCGGGUGUGUAAGCGCAGCGAUGCGUUGAGCUAACCGAUACUAAUGAACCGUGAGGCUUAACCUU
rnacentral:rRNA from 3 species